GACGAACGCUGGCGGCGUGCUUAACACAUGCAAGUCGAACGGAAAGGCUCCACCUUUCUGGGGUACUCGAGUGGCGAACGGGUGAGUAACACGUGAGUAAUCUGCCCUUCACUCUGGGAUAAGCCUAGGAAACUGGGGCUAAUACUGGAUAUGACCUUUCUCCUCAUGGGGUGUGGUGGAAAGUUUUUCGGUGUAGGAUGGGCCCGCGGCCUAUCAGCUUGUUGGUGGGGUGAUGGCCUACCAAGGCGUCGACGGGUAGCCGGCCUGAGAGGGUGAUCGGCCACAUUGGGACUGAGAUACGGCCCAGACUCCUACGGGAGGCAGCAGUGGGGAAUAUUGCACAAUGGGCGGAAGCCUGAUGCAGCGACGCCGCGUGAGGGAUGACGGCCUUCGGGUUGUAAACCGCUUUCAGCAGGGACGAAGCGUAAGUGACGGUACCUGGAGAAGAAGCACCGGCUAACUACGUG
rnacentral:rRNA from 1 species